UGCAACGCGAAGAACCUUACUUACUCUUGACAUCCAGAGAACUUUCCAGAGAUGGAUUGGUGCCUUCGGGAACUCUGAGACAGGUGCUGCAUGGCUGUCGUCAGCUCGUGUUGUGAAAUGUUGGGUUAAGUCCCGCAACGAGCGCAACCCUUAUCCUUUGUUGCCAGCGGUUCGGCCGGGAACUCAAAGGAGACUGCCAGUGAUAAACUGGAGGAAGGUGGGGAUGACGUCAAGUCAUCAUGGCCCUUACGAGUAGGGCUACACACGUGCUACAAUGGCGUAUACAAAGAGAAGCGACCUCGCGAGAGCAAGCGGACCUCAUAAAGUACGUCGUAGUCCGGAUUGGAGUCUGCAACUCGACUCCAUGAAGUCGGAAUCGCUAGUAAUCGUAGAUCAGAAUGCUACGGUGAAUACGUUCCCGGGCCUUGUACACACCGCCCGUCACACCAUGGGAGUGGGUUGCAGAAGAAGUAGGUAGCUUAACCUUCGGGAGGGCGCUUACCACUUUGUGAUUCAUGACUGGGGUGAAGUCGUAACAAGGUAACCA
rnacentral:rRNA from 1 species